GACGAACGCUAGCGGCGUGCUUAACACAUGCAAGUCGAACGGAAAGGCCCUGCUUUUGUGGGGUGCUCGAGUGGCGAACGGGUGAGUAACACGUGAGUAACCUGCCCUUGACUUUGGGAUAACUUCAGGAAACUGGGGCUAAUACCGGAUAGGAGCUCCUGCUGCAUGGUGGGGGUUGGAAAGUUUCGGCGGGUGGGGAUGGACUCGCGGCUUAUCAGCUUGUUGGUGGGGUAGUGGCUUACCAAGGCUUUGACGGGUAGCCGGCCUGAGAGGGUGACCGGCCACAUUGGGACUUAGAUACGGCCGAGACUCCGACGGGAGGCAGCAGUGGGGAAUAUGGCACAAUGGGCGGAAGCCUGAUGCAGCAACGCCGCGUGCGGGAUGACGGCCUUCGGGUUGUAAACCGCUUUCGCCUGUGACGAAGCGUGAGUGACGGUAAUGGGUAAAGAAGCACCGGCUAACUACGUG
rnacentral:rRNA from 1 species